GCAAGUUCAAAGUCCUUUACAGGUUUCCUGAAGAAUCUCUUUCUCCACAGCUGUAGAGAGUAAACAGAUGGGACGGGAGAAGUCUGAAGACAUGAAACUGGAGUUCAAAGCUGUAUGCGUCAACAGUUCCUGAACCAGGAAGAGAUUGCAAGAACCACGCUGCCUGAGACAGAGCUUCAUCCAGAACACAAGGAGAAGGGUCCGGGUGCUGGGCUGCACUCUGCACAGGGUCAGAGCGACUGUGGGUACCCAGGCCCAACCUGGACGAGUGAGAUAUAGAGUAAAUACCUCACAAUGACCAUCUGCAUGCUACGGAGCCAGUGAAGCCAGCAGCUGCUCGGUCCAAGAAGUCGGAAGCCUCAGAACAAGAGUGACCAGUGAUACUGGCCAAGGCCAACGCUGGAUGUUUAGAAGCCCUUGGAGAGUUGCUGAUGGGGGUCCAUGUUCAGACUGAAGGAGUUAGAGUCUGAUUGACGCAGGAGGUGGCAGUGAUAAUACAUGCAUCCUCUCAAGAAGAUUUGAGUUUGAAUAUGCUGAUCGGCUUUCUCCUGUUAGUUUACUUUAUCCUGGGACAGCCUAUGGUUGGUGCCACCUUCCACAUUCAGGAUGGGUCCUCCCACGUACGGUCAUCUCUGGAAGCAUCUGCAGAGACACACAGGGAAGUGUGCUUUGAUGAUUUUGUUGAGCAUCUUUCAAGACAGUCAAGUUGACAGUUGUUACAAUUUGCCCGUAGCGCCAUCAGUUUCUUCCUCCAAGCCUCCUAUCUACGUUCAACCGCUCUGCAAGUUCAUCAUUUGACUCCGAGCUGGUUCUCAUGGCUCUUUGUCUUUGUUUCCACUUCUUGACUGGUCUACCAGAAAAACUCCAUUUUUUUUCCAGGCAUUUCCUCCUGGAAGCAGUACCUGAUUUCUCAAGACAAGCUAGCCGAAGCUCUCUCCCACCUCCCCUACUCUGCUCCAUACUAUGGAAAUAUCAUAGUUUAUUAUAGCUGUUCAUUUGAAGCAGAAACCUCUGCCCAACCUUAAGGUCUAAACUCCUUGAGAGUAGUGCUCAUCAUUUCAACUCCAACACAAAGCGUAGGGCGUGGCCUAGACUAGACAGUCCAUUACUAUUUCAUUGGUAAUAAUGCCCAAUUUUCAUUGUACACUUCCCUUAAGGCCAGGCCAAAUGCUAAGUACUUCAGCAUCUAUGAUGCCAUUUACUUCACACAACCACAAUUACCCUAUUAGCUAAGUGUCAUUAUUCCUAUAAUGAAGAUGAGAAGACUGAGGCCGAGAGAGGGUAGGUAGCUUCCCUCCCCCACCCCACCCCCCCAAGAUUUGGUUUCUCUGUGUAGCCCUGGCUGUCUUAGAGCUCACUCUGAACACCAGACUGGUUUCGAACUCACAGAGAUCUACCUGCCUCUGCACUCUACUCCCGAGUGCUGGGAAGGUGCCCCAUGGCACAGAAAGGCUGUAAAUCAUAAACUGUGAGGAUGUUUAGCAUUUUCAGUCACUUGCUCUGCUAUGGCUUUGGAAUAGGGGUUUCUAGGUGAAGGCUGCAGGGGCUGCCUUAGACGUUGUCUCCACAGUCCAGUCCAUACAGUACUCCCAUGGACCUUUACCCAUCAACUCAGACCUGGAGACGGGAUCUAGGUGAAGCGCCAGCAUUCUCAGUUCAGCGGGUCUUCAGCUUCUCAUCAAAGCAGCUCCUCAGAUCUGCGACCCGGCUCCUGGCCGUGAAUACUGUGUGAGCGAUCCCUACCCAGGUAGAACUGUAAUAAGCGGUACUCUCUCAUGAUUGUUUUUCUUUCCACACUUGGUUGACCAGCAGUGGAUUGGAUCUCCAGCCCCAGGGAGCAGGCCUGGUCUACGGAUCAGUUCAGAGCUGAGCUGACUUCUGUGGACCCAGUGUCUUGGCAUGGUGGCGUCUUGCGAGUGUACACCCUGAUACUUGCUAACACCAAACGCAGCUCACAUGCCGUGCAGCCGGAAGUGACAGAGAAGCAAAGCAACCUCAGCAGAGGUCCACAGCUCACUUAGGAAGAAGAGAGAAACUGAAGAGUUCAAGGUUAAAGAGCCCUACGUCUCGUCACCUCUCACACCUGUCCCAUCCUUUGAAUGACAGGCCAGAUUUCCAACUCAGUGUCCGGCCUGCUUGGAGUACUAUCUGUGUGGCCACUGUUAGAUGUUUUUAUCCUGGCAAAGGUCCAAUGAAAGUAAAAACGACACUUCAUUGACUAAUAGAAAGAUGGCACUCUGCUCUUAUUUUUAUAUUAAAGAUCACCUGUAUUUGACUACAGUCCUGUCCUUUUUGGUCCCCAGGUUCCGCGUCCAAAGCUUCACCAACUUCAGAUGGAAACUGUAUUAGUACUGAAUGUGAACAUACUUUGUUUUUUUCUUGUCACUAUUCCAUAAAUAAUAUAGUACAACAAUUAUUUAUCUGGCAUUUGCAUCUCAUUAGGUGAUUAAAAGUAAUUUAGAAAUGAUUUAAAGGGUAUGGGAGGAUGUGCAUAGUUUGUAUGCAAAUGCCACUCCAAUUUUCUUAAAUGACUUAAGCACCUGCAGAGUUUGGGAUCUGUCUGGUGCCUGGAACCACUCCCUUAUGGGUGGUAAGGAUAGACUAUAUUAUAUUAAUAUGUUAUCCUUAAUAAAUAAGACUCGGACUGCAGAAAUAUGCAGAGGUCAGAUUAAUUCAGACCGUAAAACUAUUUUAAAUGGAAAUGCCUCAGUUUUGCAAAUUAUUUUAUUAUAAUGAUUUUGCUACUUACAGAAUUGUUUCAGCUUGGAAAAUCUGUUUUUCUCCUUCAACAAAAGGGGUGUGUGAGCUCACUAUGCCAUACCUGUCAAUCACUGUGAGGGUGACAGGGCCAUGCUGGAGAUAUAAUAAUAUGCAUUAUUUUACUGCCCUUGACAGUGACCACAAAAGAUGGGCAUUUUUUUUUCCACUUUGGAGACAGAAACAAGCAAAUCACCAGAGCCACAACUCUUAACAGAAAGGCUCAGCACUGAAACCAGAUAUGGCUGGUGUCAAGGCUUGCACACCACUCUGCCCAGCACUGGCCUGUCUGGUCAGUAAACAUUCCACUUGUCUUCCUCUGUGCUCUGGCCUUCAACACCGGAUUAAACACCACCACGGCUCCACCUCAGUGAUCCCUGUAUCACUAUACAAUUGUGGGCUCAGCCUCCAGGGGCUCUGCCUUACCAUGAACGCCUUUCUAGUUACCCCGUAGUGGAGGUUCUCAGUAGCUGGCAUUCCCAGCUAACUUGUGGGUGGGAGGCUACUGGCCCUUAGUUGGUGAAUUGGAUGUCCCAAGGAGCCACCCCUUUCCACGGAGAUGACAAAAGCAGAUCCUGGGAAAGUCCCGAUGCCAGUGGUGACUUGUUGAGAAUGUCACUCCAGUGCUGAGUAGAAGACUUAGCUACCAUCAUUCAGGAAUCUGCCACUUGCAGUCCAUGGAUGCUGAGAGAGGAACUCUGCUUUGGCCAUACGGCUGCUAGUCGUUGUGGUUAGCCCACACCCAUACACACACAAGUAGCACUCACUGGAGUUGGGAAAAUAUAGUAAACAAUGAGAAGAGGAGGACAUAAAGUUCAGAGGGUGUGGCGCACCAGGGGCCAUGCGAGGGGGGUCAUGGCGGAUGUAUAUGAUUAGAAUACAUUGCACGGAUGUGUGGAGUUUUCACAGAAUAAAUAAAAACACUUUAAA